CCCUUAGAUGUUCUGGGCCGCACGCGCGCUACACUGAUGCAUUCAACGAGUCUAAAACCUGCUCUGAUAGGGGUGGGUAAUCUUUUGAAUGUGCAUCGUGAUUGGGAUAGAUGAUUGCAAUUUUUCAUCUUCAACGAGGAAUGCCUAAUAAACGCAAGUCAUCAGCUUGCAUUGAUUACGUCCCUGCCCUUUGUACACACCGCCCGUCGCUCCUACCGAUUGAAUGAUCCGAUGAAUAUCAUGGAUUGAGGAUGCAAGUAGGUUAGCCUAUCUUCAUCUUCGAGAAGUGAAGUAAAUCUUAUCAUUUAGAGGAAGGAGAAGUCGUAACA
rnacentral:rRNA from 1 species